GACGAACCUUUCUAACUUUUUUCUGCCUCCCCGGGCUUAACGGGUGCGUAGGCGGGUUGUCCAGUCUGGGGUGAAAUCCCACGGCUCAACCGUGGAAUUGCCUCAGAUACUGACGACCUCGAGGGAGGUAGGGGCGAGCGGAACUGUGGGUGGAGCGGUGAAAUGCGUUGAUAUCCACAGGAACUCCGGUGGCGAAGGCGGCUCGCUGGACCUCUUCUGACGCUGAGGCACGAAAGCUAGGGGAGCAAACGGG
rnacentral:rRNA from 1 species